GAGAGUUCUGUACAGAGUCUGGUGAGGUUUUAAAGUUGAGUCAGCGCAGAGUAAAGCUUGUUUUCGACUUGUCUAUGUGUGUUUUUAAUAUGCUUAAGUGUUUAUACUUGUUUAUGUGCUUGUUUGCUAUGAGUUUGAGUCGAGUUGAGAGUUAAGUCGAAAAUUGGACGUGUGAAUCCUUAGAAGCCAAGUAUACCUAGGGAUUGAGUUAUAACGGGUAAAUAGACGUUGAGUGAGAAGUUAAAGUAAAGAAGAGAUUGGAUUUAGAAAUUGAGUUUCUGACUAAGGUUUGUUUUAUCACAUGAACCUUCGAUGACGAUGACGAUGUGAUGAUGACAUAUGAAGGCCCGAGCGAGACAAAGAAGUAAGUUGCCUGAUUUCUUUCCAGAAUAAGCGAAGGACUUCAGGCUAAGCUGGGAGUGAGAUUGGACUGGUGCUGAUGGGGGAGAGUUUCAAAUGAUGUAAAUUAAAUUACUAUUUUGCCUCUAUGAUAAUAGAGUCUUGAUGUUUGAAUUACUUAGUUUCUUUUGGGAUCAAGCAAUACACUCACGGUUAUGUGUCUUCAUACAUAUAAUCGGUUCGCCUUUUGCUGCGAUACUCUGCAAAUUAUGCUUCCUUAUGAAAAAUGAACUAUACCCGUUUUGUUUUU